rnacentral:misc_RNA from 1 species
GAUUUUUUUUUUUUUUUUAUGUAUUUGACUUUAUUUUUAUAUGUUGAAUUCUUGGGAAUGGAAUAUUUUGAGCAAGGAAUAGAGUGGAAUGGAUUGUAAGGUUAGGGGAUGAUGAUUUAAUGCAAUAAUUAUAUUGGGAUUUGUUCAUUUGAUGAUAAUAUUUUUUCUAACCAGUUUUGAUAUUAGCAGUCACUAAGUGUUUGUAUGUGCAUUAAAAGAUUUCAAUUUAAAUCAUAGAUACCCCAUUUGGUUCCUUUGUGGGGGUGGGGGUUAUAUGUAGACGAGAGGGUUCUGCUGUAGACUUUUAGUGAUGUGGCUUUGUUGAAGCAAUCAAUUGGCACCCAGUUUUUUGGGUCCUAUGAGGAAAGUCUAUUAUUUAUAGCUUGUGAUGUUUGAGUUUACAUUUGAAGCUCAAAUGACCUCAAAUGCUAUUUAUUAAUGUUCCACUUCUAUAUUUGGUUUGUUUAAAUCAAAUGUUUUUGACAUUGUUCAGGGUGGAUGGGCUGUUUAGCUAAAAAAGAGUUUAUAACCUUUUAAGCCUUGUAAAGGACUUGUCUCUAGUUUUUAUGUAGCUUUGGUAUAUGAUACCAAAACUUUCCUACAAAAGGUUGCCAAAAAAAGGGGCGAAACAAGACUUGUUUAGGCAUAUAGUUCUGUAGACAGUAUGAGAGAUCACCUAAUAUCAGUUAAAAAAAUGAAUUGCCAUUUCAUUAAUCUUCUCAUGUGAAAAUAUGUUCUUCAUGCUGCACCUACCAUUUUCUGAAUGCACUUUUUUCUGUUUUAGAAAAUUUUAUAGUUCUGUUAGCAUUAUGAGCAGCUAAAGUAGUUAGUUUUGUGUAUAGGGAGCAGACCCCUCUUGGAUUACG